rnacentral:rRNA from 1 species
UACGGGGGGGGCAAGCGUUGUUCGGAAUUACUGGGCGUAAAGGGCUCGUAGGUGGCCAACUAAGUCAGACGUGAAAUCCCCAGGCUCAACUUGGGAACUGCGUCUGAUACUGGAUGGCUUGAAUUCGGGAGAGGGAUGCAGAAUUCCAGGUGUAGCGGUGAAAUGCGUAGAUAUCUGGAGGAAUACCAGUGGCGAAGGCGGGUCUCUGGACAGUUCCUGACGCUGAGGCACGAAGGUCAGGGGAGCAAACGGG